rnacentral:rRNA from 1 species
UACGGAGGGUGCAAGCGUUGUCCGGAUUUAUUGGGUUUAAAGGGUGCGUAGGCGGUUAAUUAAGUCAGUGGUGAAAUCCUGGAGCUCAACUUCAGAACUGCCAUUGAUACUGGUUGACUUGAGUACAGACGAGGUUGGCGGAAUUGAUGGUGUAGCGGUGAAAUGCAUAGAUACCAUCAAGAACACCGAUUGCGAAGGCAGCUAACUAGGCUGUAACUGACGCUGAGGCACGAAAGUGCGGGGAUCAAACAGG